rnacentral:lncRNA from 1 species
AUUUGAGUAGUGAUGGAGAUGCCAUUUAGAUAGUGAAAACAUUGACGAUGGCAAUAGAGUGGUAGUGAGAGUGGCGAUGGUAGCUAGUGACCGUGGCAAUAGUGGAGGCGGUGGUUGGAGGUGAUAAAAUUAAGAACAUGAGUUUCCUAUUUCUAAAUAUAUGGAAAGCAAGGAUUUCUUACUCUAUUUUUUUUAUAGACACAAUGAAAGUGACGUUAGAAAAUAAGAAAAUAAAUAUAAUACCAUCUAACAUUUUUUAUCAUAAUUUUUAUAAUUUUAUUUCUUGAAAUAAAAAUACCAAAUAGACUUUAAAGUCUCUUAAAAAGCAAAUUAAGGCUAUGAAAAGUAGAUUAUAUUCUUUUUAACAAGAAAAUAUUUAAUUUUAUCCCUUCUAUGUCUCCUCUAUAUUAGCACCACUAUUGUUUCCACCAUUAUAUCCA